rnacentral:rRNA from 1 species
UACAGAGGGUGCAAACGUUGCUCGGAAUCAUUGGGCGUAAAGCGCACGUAGGCGGUUCGGUAUGUCGGAUGUGAAAGCCCUUGGCUUAACCGAGGAAGUGCAUCCGAAACUGGCGAGCUAGAGUACUAAAGAGGAUCGCGGAAUUCCCGGUGUAGAGGUGAAAUUCGUAGAUAUCGGGAGGAACACCGGUGGCGAAGGCGGCGAUCUGGGUAGAUACUGACGCUGAGGUGCGAAAGCGUGGGGAGCAAACAGG